UGCAGGGACUCUAGGAAAGGCCACUCCCCGACUAGGACCAGCAGGCCCUGCGGAGGCUGGCUCUCCCUUGCUGUUUGGACUCUUCCCUCCCCAGCCCCAAGCCUCAUCAAAGGCUGCCCUUUCCUGUUCACUGACCACCGCUGCUUUGACGCCAUUAGCCCUUGAGCUCCUGGAAGAAAAGGAAGAACCUUGUUUUCCCUGGGCUCGGUGCCAAGAGACUGUGGGCAGUUGCUCAAGAUUCACUUAUGAAACUCCAGAUCUCAGGAGGACGGAAGCUUGGGACAAACACCGAGCCUCCCACCCCCACUCUAACUCUGUUUCUGAGCACUUUACAGGAGGAGCAGGUUGUCCACCGGGCCAGAGGUGUCCAGCAUUGAGCUGCUGGGCCCGGAUGAGCAGCAGUGUUCCCAGAAGGCGGUGGUGCAGGCCCGCCUGACCCAGCCUGCCCACCUCACCAGCAUCAUCUUCGCAGAGGACAUCAGUAAGGGCUGAGUGCCCUUACAGGCAUGAGCCACCUUGCUCAGUCUAUUUGUAAGGCUUUUGAUACAUGGGACUGUACUGUUUUCCAAUAAAACAGUGUUAACAAUGCACAAGUAUUGUUAUAUGGUGCCUGGAGAACGGUCAGAAACAUUUUUUAUCCUACUGCUAUCCCUACAUUUGAGAAUUCCCCAGCCACAGGCCAGGUCCUGCGCUGUGACGCCAUCGUGGACCUCAUUCACGGCAUCCAGAUUGUUUCCACCACCCGUGAGCUCUCCCUGGAGGACUCCCCGCUGGAGCUGAAGAUCCAGGCCCUGGACUCCGAGGCCCUGCAGGUCCCCUGGAGGGCAGCUCCAGUCAGGGAGGUGAAGGUGCUGCUAGGGGAGGUGCUGAAGAGGCAGAAUUCACCUGCGAGGUGGGCCCCAAGCCCUCAGUGGCAUCGAGCCAUGGCCACUCCUGGCACUCAGGGGCCCCUGCAGUGGGGCCAGUGUGCUCAGAGCUGUGGCAGUCCCUGGAGCCAGACCCUGCUGGUCGCAGCGCUGGUCCUUGGUGCAGCAGUCUUGGGGAAGCCAGCAUUCUCAGCACCAGUAGGAGGCUGGGAGAGGCUGGCUGGGCCAUGCCUCCUGCUCCGGCUCUUGGGGCAGGUUUUGCUUCCUGGUCCAGAACUUAGAUCCUGUGUGCCAGGCACGAAAGGUCCUUUCAUCCUGGAGGAGACUGAAGCAUGGAGCAGGGUGAGAUGCAUGGUGUACAGGGUCCUGCCUGUUGGCAUGAGAUUCACCUUUUUCUCAAAGCAGAGGGAAGCUAAGGAAGGGGUAGGUGCAGGAAGUUAUGGAAGCUUGCAUGCAGGGUUUUUGGGAGCAUAAGCUGUUCUUGGGAGCAGAACGGGCAAAGUUUGAGUCCACCUUGCCGCCAGGCCGUCCUAGGAGCACUUCGCACGCCCUAGCUCAUUUGCCGCACAGCGACCCAACAAUGCAGGCACAGAGUGAACACACCCACACGCUCACCCGAGUGUGCACACACACACAACAGAUGCAGAGCUCGCAAGCAGCCGAGCCUGGCCCCAGAGGUGACCCUUUGGUGGAGGGCUGGAUGGAAAUAUUGUGGGCUUUCCUGGCCAUAUGGUCUCUGUGGCAACUAUGCAGUUCUGUCAUUGUCUCACUAAAGCAGCCAUAGACGAUGCAGAAGUGAAUGGGCAUGACUGUGUUCUAAUAAAACUUUAUUCAUAGAAAUAGGGGGCUAGAUUUGGCCCAGGGGCUGCAGUUCGCAAUCUCUGUUCAUAACUACUCUGUUCUGUUUCCUGCCUUAAGUCACUUUUUAAAAAAUAGCUGUUUAUUUUUAUCAAGAUUUAUAUCACAUGAAAUUCACCCAUUUCAAGGGUACAAUUCAGCACUUUUUGGUAGAUUCACACAGUUGUGCAACCAUCGCCAGUGUCCAACUUCAGAACAUUUUCAUCACCCCAAAAGGAAGCGCCACACUCAUUGCAGUCACUCCCCAUUCUCUCCUCUCUCCAGCCCCUGAUGACCACGAAUCUGCGUUCUGUCUCUUUGCAUUUGCCCGUUCUGGACAUUUCAUGGGAAUUGAGUCACAGUGGGUGUAGCUGUAUACGACCAUGUGUGCAGUCUUUUGUGACUGGCUUCUCUCACUGAGCACGUUUUUCAGAGUUCAUCUGUGCUGUUGCGUGUAUCCACACUUGGUUCCUUUUUGUUGUUAAGUAACUUUCUAUUGCAGGGGUCAAUGGCGUUUUGUUUCUCUGUUCGUCCUUUGAUGGACUCUGCAUUGUUUUCACAUGUUGGCGGUUAUGAAUAAAGCUGGUGA